rnacentral:lncRNA from 1 species
UCGAGCUGACGAAAUUAGUAAUAUUAUCCGUGAACGUAUUGAACAAUAUAAUAGAGAAGUAAAGAUUGUAAAUACCGGUACCGUACUUCAAGUAGGCGAUUAUUGAAAUAAGUCUCAAAUGUUCAUGACAUUACAUAGGUUCAAACAUUUAAAGCAGAAAAUAUGAAUCAACUGUUCGAAUGAAAUAGAAACACAAGGGAUAUGAACACAUUCAAUAGGUAAAGAGAUCUUCAUCUCUUCAUGAUACACGAAUCUGCCUUUACAUUUGGUAUGAGGGUGUGUACCUGAAUAUGGCAAAGCAAAAUCAGAAGUUGAGUUAAUGACUCAGAAGAAUCAACAACAGUAGUAACAGCAGAUCAACAAUCAGUCCUCAAUGGAAUAGUAUUUCAAUAAAUCAAACGGCUCCAAACAGUCUCUCAAACUUCCCAGAAUUAGACCAUUUUUCAAAAUUUGGUUAAUAAAGAGUGCAGGGAUUUUUCUGUAGUUCUAGGGUAUCAGUCACUGCCCUUUUAUGGAAGAAAUGUCUAUAUAUAUAGCCCUCUUUUGUGCCCUCGGCUGCAAGAAACAGAAUAGGAAUAAAUUCCCUCACCAGACAUCUUUUUCUUUAAUAGAAAUGGGACAGCUAGCAGCUUAUUAUUGGCUCCAGCAACUUGUGCUAGCCAAAUAAGGCCAGCUGCCCCUAUUCUGGAAGUUCCCAUCACAUAAGCUUAUCCAAAGACCUUCUCUAUUUUCCAAAUUGGUCCCUAAGUUUUUUCAUCUAUUCAACUACGAUCCUAGAAGUGUUUACCAAUUUCAAAACUUAACCAAACAAGAUAAUGCCAGCAGCGAUGAACAAAACCCAAUCAAACAACAUGAAACACUUAGACUCUUGCAAUCACACCAACAAAACUUCGAUUUCCUGAUAAAUCUCAAAGUUCAUUGUUAAAGGCUAAUGAUGAUCUUGACUCAAUGAGACAAAUCAAAGAAAGAUGAGCAGCAUACUGACUAUUUAUUCAAUAGAAACCCUAAAAUUCCUAUCAUGCAAUUAAAGAGGGAAAAAAAAUAGAACAUUAAGAUUAAACAAAAUAAUGCAAGACGUGACUUUCACAACUAUCCAAACAUAAACAAAUCUCCAUUAAAUGACUAAAUCAAACAAAGCUUAACCAAACUCGGACAAGCAAUCCAUUUGAAGUAACCAGAAAAGAAAUUAACAAAAAAUAGAAAACAAAACAAAUUAACAUAUUAAUCAGAAGCUAAAUAGGACGGGGCGAGGUUCAGACUCAAAGGAAAACCUAACAACUGGGCUCAAACUCAAGGAAGCGGAGAAGCGGUUGACUGACCGGAAGCUGGCUCACAAAUGAACCCACAUAAAGGUUAACGAGUCUUGAGCCAUCUUGGUUUCUAAAACGUGAAGAAACAGCUUUGGACGAACUAGGAUUACUAAUUUAGAUAUGAAAUUCAAAGCACUAGCAAAGGUCUUUGGGGAUUUAUCGAUAGAUUUGGGAAUAGUGAGUGCAGGGGUUACCUUGUACCAAGUUGAAGUGGUUUGGAGUGAUUUGGUUUUAGAGAUCAAUUUUGGAUCUAAAAUUUGAGCAGGCUGAGAGAGAUUCAAGGGGAACUACUUUGUGAUUUAGAAAGAGGGAGGUGAGAAGAUUGUUUGGCGUUUAUUUGAGGAUGAGCGGAGGUAGCGCUGCCACUUUGAAGCGGUGGAAACGGGGGCGGCGAGCUAGGGUUUUUUGGGUGUUCUCUGAUGGUGAAUUGUGAGAGACGAUUAUNNN